UACGGGGGUUCCUAGCGUUGUUCGGAUUUACUGGGCGUAAAGGGAGCGCAGGCGGAUUGGUCAGUCUAAAGUGGAAUCCCGGGGCUCAACCUCGGAAGUGCUUUGGAUACUACCAGUCUCGAGUUCGUGAGAGGAAAGCGGAAUUCAAGGUGUAGCGGUGAAAUGCUUAGAUAUCUUGAGGAACACCAAUGGCGAAAGCAGCUUUCUGGCACUGAACUGACGCUGAGGCUCGAAAGCGUGGGUAGCGAAC
rnacentral:rRNA from 1 species